GUCUAUGGCCAUGCCACCCCGAACAAGCCCAAUCCUGAUCUCGGAAGCUAAGCAGGGUCGGGCCUGGUGGGGAGAGUAUUUGAAUGGGAGACCACCUAGGAAAACCAGGUGCUGUAGGCA
rnacentral:rRNA from 1 species